rnacentral:rRNA from 1 species
AUUGAACGCUGGCGGAAUGCUUUACACAUGCAAGUCGAACGGUAGAGGGGGCGACCCCUCGAGAGUGGCGAACGGGUGAGUAAUAUAUCGGAACGUGCCCAGUCGUGGGGGAUAACGUAGCGAAAGUUACGCUAAUACCGCAUACGAUCUAAGGAUGAAAGCGGGGGAUCGCAAGACCUCGCGCGAUUGGAGCGGCCGAUAUCAGAUUAGGUAGUGGGUGGGGUAAAGGCUCACCAAGCCAACGAUCUGGAGCUGGUCUGAGAGGACGACCAGCCACACUGGAACUGAGACACGGUCCAGACUCCUACGGGAGGCAGCAGUGGGGAAUUUUGGACAAUGGACGCAAGUCUGAUCCAGCCAUUCCGCGUGCAGGAUGAAAGCCCUCGGGUUGUAAACUGCUUUUGUACGGAACGAAAAGGUCUCUCUUAAUACGGGGGGCUCAUGACGGUACCGUAAGAAUAAGCACCGGCUAACUACGUGCCAGCAGCCGCCGUAA